rnacentral:tRNA from 1 species
CGGGGUGUAGCGCAGUCUGGUAGCGUAUCUGGUCCGGAGCCAGAGGGUCGGGAGUUCGAAUCUCCCCUCCCCGACCA